GCUUUUCUGUUGGUAGAGCAUUGUGCUGACAAUGCAAAGGUCAUGGGUUCAAAUCCCAGGGAAAACA